rnacentral:rRNA from 1 species
AAAUUGAAGAGUUUGAUCAUGGCUCAGAUUGAACGCUGGCGGCAGGCCUAACACAUGCAAGUCGAACGGUAACAGGAAGCAGCUUGCUGCUUCGCUGACGAGUGGCGGACGGGUGAGUAAUGUCUGGGAAACUGCCUGAUGGAGGGGGAUAACUACUGGAAACGGUGGCUAAUACCGCAUAACGUCGCAAGACCAAAGAGGGGGACCUUCGGGCCUCUUGCCAUCAGAUGUGCCCAGAUGGGAUUAGCUUGUUGGUGAGGUAACGGCUCACCAAGGCGACGAUCCCUAGCUGGUCUGAGAGGAUGACCAGCCACACUGGAACUGAGACACGGUCCAGACUCCUACGGGAGGCAGCAGUGGGGAAUAUUGCACAAUGGGCGCAAGCCUGAUGCAGCCAUGCCGCGUGUAUGAAGAAGGCCUUCGGGUUGUAAAGUACUUUCAGCGGGGAGGAAGGUGUUGUGGUUAAUAACCACAGCAAUUGACGUUACCCGCAGAAGAAGCACCGGCUAACUCCGUGCCAGCAGCCGCGGUAAUACGGAGGGUGCAAGCGUUAAUCGGAAUUACUGGGCGU